rnacentral:lncRNA from 1 species
GGCGCUGGGGGUUCCUCCCGGCGAGACUGGCGGGGCUGCGGCGGCUAGGAGAGUGGGUAUCGUGUUAAUUUUUACAUGCACCCAGAGCAGUCUGCCUUUUGGAAGAUACAUGGGAGACCCUACCGAAAGUAAUUACUUUUUUUUUACAGAGUGAAUAAAUUUGCGUGUCAUAAAGGCUGUAUAA